CGAACGCUGGCGGCGUGCCUAAUACAUGCAAAUUGAGCGCUGAAGGUUGGUACUUGUACCACCUGGAUGAGCAGCGAACGGGUGAGUAACGCGUGGGGAAUCUGCCUUUGAGCGGGGGACAACAUUUGGAAACGAAUGCUAAUACCGCAUAAAAACUUUAAACACAAGUUUUAAGUUUGAAAGAUGCAAUUGCAUCACUCAAAGAUGAUCCCGCGUUGUAUUAGCUAGUUGGUGAGGUAAAGGCUCACCAAGGCGAUGAUACAUAGCCGACCUGAGAGGGUGAUCGGCCACAUUGGGACUGAGACACGGCCCAAACUCCUACGGGAGGCAGCAGUAGGGAAUCUUCGGCAAUGGACGAAAGUCUGACCGAGCAACGCCGCGUGAGUGAAGAAGGUUUUCGGAUCGUAAAACUCUGUUGGUAGAGAAGAACGUUGGUGAGAGUGGAAAGCUCAUCAAGUGACGGUAACUACCCAGAAAGGGACGGCUAACUACGUG
rnacentral:rRNA from 1 species